AUUGAACGCUGGCGGCAUGCCUUACACAUGCAAGUCGAACGGCAGCGGGGACUUCGGUCCGCCGGCGAGUGGCGAACGGGUGAGUAAUGUAUCGGAACGUACCAUUCAGUGGGGGAUAACUAUCCGAAAGGAUAGCUAAUACCGCAUAUUCUGUGAGCAGGAAAGCAGGGGAUCGCAAGACCUUGCGCUGCUUGAGCGGCCGAUAUCAGAUUAGCUAGUUGGUGAGGUAGCGGCUCACCAAGGCUACGACCUGUAGCGGGUCUGAGAGGAUGAUCCGCCACACGGGGACUGAGACACGGCCCAGACUCCUACGGGGGGCAGCAGUGGGGAAUUUUGGACAAUGGGCGCAAGCCUGAUCCAGCCAUGCCGCGUGAGUGAAGAAGGCCUUCGGGUUGUAAAGCUCUUUCGGCCGGGAAGAAAUCGCAUCAGCUAAUACCUGGUGUGGAUGACGGUACCGGAAUAAGAAGCACCGGCUAACUACGUGCCAGCAGCCGCCGUAACAC
rnacentral:rRNA from 1 species